AAGCUGUGAUGAAAUUUUUGUCCAGGCAUAUCUGGAUCAAAAUUUCACUCAUAAGGGGAAAGGUCUAUUGUUUGGUUCGGACCAUUUUGGGUGGCAAAUAUUAUUUUUGCCACUAAAAUUGCUUGAUUUUUUAGUGUGACGUAAUAUUCCCAUAUGUUGCAAAAUCUGAAUAGUUAAUUAGGUCAAACGACAAAAAACAAGAUGGCGUACCACGCGCUGUUUCUGGUCAAAAUAGCUCUUAAGGCCCAUUCCACUGAAGAAAAAUUUCCACCGACAGAAAAUAUCCUGAAAAUGUCAU